rnacentral:rRNA from 1 species
AUACGUAGGGUGCAAGCGUUAAUCGGAAUUACUGGGCGUAAAGCGUGCGCAGGCGGGUUUGUAAGACAGUGGUGAAAUCCCCGGGCCCCACCUGGGAACUGCCAUUGUGACUGCAAGGCUGGCGUGCGGCAGAGGGGGAUGGACUUCCGCGUGUCGCAGUGAAAUGCGUAGAUAUGCGGAGGAACACCAAUGGCGAAGGCAAUCCCCUGGGCCUGCACUGACGCUCAUGCACGAAAGCGUGGGGAGCAAACAGGAUUAGAUACCCUGGUAGUCCACGCCCUAAACGAUGUCAACUGGUUGUUGGGGAUUUAUUUUCUCAGUAACGAAGCUAACGCGUGAAGUUGACCGCCUGGGGAGUACGGCCGCAAGGUUAAAACUUAAAUGAAUUGACGGGG